rnacentral:rRNA from 1 species
UACAGAGGUGGCAAGCGUUGCUCGGAAUCACUGGGCGUAAAGCGCACGUAGGCGGAUUGUUAAGUCAGGGGUGAAAUCCUGGAGCUCAACUCCAGAACUGCCUUUGAUACUGGCGAUCUCGAGUCCGGGAGAGGUGAGUGGAACUGCGAGUGUAGAGGUGAAAUUCGUAGAUAUUCGCAAGAACACCAGUGGCGAAGGCGGCUCACUGGCCCGGUACUGACGCUGAGGUGCGAAAGCGUGGGGAGCGAACAGG